AGAACGAACGCUGGCGGCAUGCCUAAUACAUGCAAGUCGAACGAAGGCUUCGGCCUUAGUGGCGCACGGGUGCGUAACGCGUGGGAAUCUGCCCCUUGGUUCGGAAUAACAGUUGGAAACGACUGCUAAUACCGGAUGAUGACGAAAGUCCAAAGAUUUAUCGCCAAGGGAUGAGCCCGCGUAGGAUUAGCUAGUUGGUGAGGUAAAGGCUCACCAAGGCGACGAUCCUUAGCUGGUCUGAGAGGAUGAUCAGCCACACUGGGACUGAGACACGGCCCAGACUCCUACGGGAGGCAGCAGUGGGGAAUAUUGGACAAUGGGGGCAACCCUGAUCCAGCCAUGCCGCGUGUGUGAAGAAGGCCCUAGGGUUGUAAAGCUACUUCGA
rnacentral:rRNA from 1 species